rnacentral:rRNA from 1 species
GGCGGAACGGGUGAGGUAAUGUGUAGAGAAUCUGCCCCACGAGCGAGGGACACAAGUUGGAAACGACUGCUAAUACCUCAUAUGCGCGUAGCUGAGAUGCUAUUCGUGAAAACUCCGGUGCUCUGGGAUGAGUCUGCAUCUGAUUAGCUAGUUGGGGUGUAAUGGACCACCAAGGCGACGAUCAGUAGCUGGUUUGAGAGGAUGAUCAGCCACAAUGGGACUGAGACACGGCCCAUACUCCUACGGGAGGCAGCAGUAGGGAAUUUUGCGCAAUGGGCGAAAGCCUGACGCAAGCAACGCCGCGUGAUUGAAUAAGCCCUUCGGGGUGUAAAGAUCUGUCAGUGGGGACGAAACUUGACGGUACCCACAGAGGAAGCAUCGGCUAACUCCGUGCCAGCAGCUGC